AGUCGUAGUUGCCACUGCAUUCGAAUCACAGCCGCCACGGAUCCAGUGGCCCGACGUGGAAGGCAGAACUCCCAGACCUUUUCUCUCCACCCUAAGCUUCUGCACGCGCGCACCGCCCCUCACCGUCGGCCUCUUCUCCUCUUCGUCCGCCACAGGAUCUCGCCUCGCCGAGGCCAUGUACCGUGCCGCCGGGGACCACAUCCGCUCCCUCAAGGUGAAUAGACAAAAAUACGGGUGAGACAAAUUUUCCUGGUGUUGUACGAGGAGAGGGCAGCCAACGGCCACCGGGAGUUGGGUCCUAGGAGCCACCGACUUCAGCCGCCUGCUCAAUGACGGCGAGGGCGGUGCCUACCUGACAAGCCCGCACGUCGGCAUGGUAGUUGCCAUCAAGAAACUCAAUCCCAAUGACAUAAGGUUCGAAUGCUCCAUUCCUUAGACAAUGCCAACGUCCUGAAAUUUUACUCCUGGUGGUCCUUUUGUGCUUUCCCUUGCACACAAACACAAAGUGAACUUUCUUCUGUGAUCAGG